rnacentral:rRNA from 12 species
UGGGUAUAGGGGCGAAAGACUAAUCGAACCAUCUAGUAGCUGGUUCCCUCCGAAGUUUCCCCCAGGAUAGCUGGAGCUUGAUUCAGUUUCGUCAGGUAAAGCGAAUGAUUAGAGGUUCGGGGGAUGAAACAUCCUUCACCUAUUCUCAAACUUUAAAUAGGCGAGACGCGUAGGUUGCUUAAUUGAACCUGCGCAAUCAAUGUGAGCUCCAAGUGGGCCAUUUUUGGUAAGCAGAACUGGCGAUGCGGGAUGAACCGAUAGUUGAGUUAAGGUGCCAAACUACGCGCUAACCUAGAUCCCACAAAGGGUGUUGAUUCAUAUAGACAGCAGGACGGUGGUCAUGGAAGUCGAAAUCCGCUAAGGAGUGUGUAACAACUCACCUGCCGAAUGAACUAGCCCUGAAAAUGGAUGGCGCUUAAGCGUAUUACCCAUACCUCACCGUUAGUGUUGAAGUGACACGCUAACGAGUAGGCAGGCGUGGAGGUUGGUGAAGAAGCUUUGGCAGUAAUGCUGAGUGGAACAGCCUCUAGUGCAGAUCUUGGUGGUAGUAGCAAAUAUUCAAGUGAGAACCUUGAAGACUGAAGUGGAGAAAGGUUCCAUGGUAACAGCAGUUGGACAUGGGUGAGUCGGUCCUAAGAGAUAGGGGAAUUCCGUUUCAAAGUGUGCGCUUGUUCGCACGGCCUAUCGAAAGGGAAUACGGUUAAAAUUCCGUAACCGAGAUGUAGAUUCUGAACGGCAACGUAAAUGAACUUGGAGACGCCGGUGAGGGCCCUGGGAAGAGUUAUCUUUUCUCCUUUACAGCUUAUAACCUUGGAAUCGGAUUAUCCGGAGAUAAGGUCUAAUGGCUGGUAGAGCACUGCUAUUCUGUAGUGUCCGGUGCGUCCUCAACGGCCCUUGAAAAUCCGAGGGAAUGAAAAAGUCUUACACUCGAUCGUACCCAUAUCCGCAUCAGGUCCCCAAGGUGAUCAGCCUCUAGUCCAUAGAAUAAUGUAGAUAAGGGAAGUCGGCA